UACGUAGGGUGCAAGCGUUGUCCGGAAUUAUUGGGCGUAAAGGGCUCGUAGGCGGUCCGUCACGUCGGGAGUGAAAACUUGGGGCUUAACCCCAAGCCUGCUUCCGAUACGGGCGGACUAGAGGUAGGCAGGGGAGAACGGAAUUCCUGGUGUAGCGGUGAAAUGCGUAGAGAUCAGGAAGAACAUCGGUGGCGAAGGCGCUCUGCUGGACCAUAACUGACACUCAGGGACGAAAGCUAGGGGAGCGAAUGGG
rnacentral:rRNA from 1 species